AUGGCUCAGGAUGAACGCUAGCGGCAGGCUUAACACAUGCAAGUCGAGGGGCAUCGGGAGUAGCAAUACUGCCGGCGACCGGCGCAAGGGUGCGUAACGCGUGAGCAACAUGCCCGUAUCAGGGGGAUAAUCCAUGGAAACGUGGUCUAAUACCCCAUAGUAAUUAUGUAAGGCAUCUUAUAUAAUUUAAAGCUUUGGUGGAUACGGAUUGGCUCGCGUGACAUUAGCUGGAUGGUAAGGUAACGGCUUACCAUGGCUACGAUGUCUAGGGGUUCUGAGAGGAAGGUCCCCCACACUGGAACUGAGACACGGUCCAGACUCCUACGGGAGGCAGCAGUGAGGAAUAUUGGACAAUGGAUGGAAAUCUGAUCCAGCCAUGCCGCGUGCAAGGAAGACGGCCCUAUGGGUUGUAAACUGCUUUUGUAUGGGAGCAAUAAGGGCUACGUGUAGUCCGAUGAGAGUACCAUACGAAUAAGCACCGGCUAACUCCGUGCCAGCAGCGGC
rnacentral:rRNA from 1 species